rnacentral:rRNA from 1 species
AUUGAACGCUGGCGGCAUGCUUUACACAUGCAAGUCGAGCGGCAGCGCGGGGGCAACCCUGGCGGCGAGCGGCGGACGGGUGAGUAAUACAUCGGAACGUACCCUGGAGUGGGGGAUAACGCCGCGAAAGCGGCGCUAAUACCGCAUAUGCUCUGAGGAGGAAAGUGGGGGACCUGCAAGGGCCUCAUGCUCUGGGAGCGGCCGAUGUCCGAUUAGCUAGUUGGUGGGGUAAAGGCUUACCAAGGCGACGAUCGGUAGCUGGUCUGAGAGGAUGAUCAGCCACACUGGGACUGAGACACGGCCCAGACUCCUACGGGUGGCUG